rnacentral:lncRNA from 1 species
AUAUGGCUGAAGAUGUCCGUGGACUCUAAAAACUCCUGUGUUUUGCUGUCAUCGCGAGACUCCAGGACUUCCUGCGUCUUCCAAAACGAAGACGAGAAAGAUGACAUCCCAGGAGUGGGAGAGGAGAGCGUCCUGGAGAUGCUGAGCUACUCCAAGUUCUCCAACCUGGAGACAUGGCUGUGUAUGCCGUCCUCGCUGCUGCUGCCCAGGGCCCUGGACUCCACCCGCACCUCCUCCUCGUCCUCCACCUCCUCACAUGCAUCCAACCACUCCUCCAACUCACAGCCCAUCUCCUCCUCCUCCUCGUCCCCGGCCUCCGUCUCCCGUCGCUCCACCUGCAGCGAUCCAGGAGAGACCGCCGCACCGCUCAGGUCUUCAGAGAGGGACCCCCCCUCCCUCAGCCCUGCGCUGGGGAAGGAGAUGCCAUUCCUGACCACGUCUCCCCUCCCCAUCCUCUCCUCCACCCCGGCUGGUGGACACUGCACCCCCCACAGCGGGGUCAGCAUCAGGAAGCGGCGACGGCUCGCUGCCAGUCCUGGAGGCCUGCACUGGACCUCUGCAGGUUCGGUGCAGCGAGACUUCUGGUCACCUGAUCUGUCGCCCGUGAACACGACAGCAGGCGGGGGUGCGAGGAGCCUCCCCCUCGCUGAGGGAGGCGGGGCGGCGUGGGCCGGCGACCGGGCGGCGCUGAGGAAGGCGGUUUCGGUCGAUGACCGUCUGCUGCAGCCUCACCUGAGACUGCUGAGCCGCCUGGAGAGAGGCAGGAAGAAGCUGCGCAACAAACAGGUGAGUUUAUAUUUGUGGCGAGUGUUCUGUGUCUUCUACGUUCGGCUGGAUUCUUUAUAUUAAACUUUUUAUCUCUGAUGUUUGGG